AUGAAGUUCUGCACUCUCCUCUCACACAGCCUCGAGAGGGUGGUCAAGCCCAAUGUCGCGUACCUGCGGGAGUGCGGGUUAGGUGACUGCGAUAUUGCCAAAUUGUGCACCGCAAGACCGAGGCUGAUCGCCAGCAACCCGGAGCAUGUUCAGGCCAUGGUGACAUGCGCUGAAAACAUAGGUGUGCCCCGUGGCUCUGUGAUGUUCAGGCACGCGCUGCUUGCUGUUUCAUCUCUUGGGAAAGAGGAGUUCUUGCUGGGAUGUUCAGCCAGAGUGGAGUACUUGAGGAACACGUUCAGGUGGACGGAUGCUGAGGUGAACAUUGCUGUUUCUAAGUAUCCAUCGGUGCUGAAUAGGUCCAAGGAAUCGCUGCAGCGCAGGUCUGAGUUCCUCAUCUCCGAGAUGGGCUUGGGACCGCCCUACAUUGCUCAUCGACCCGUAAUUCUAGGUCUCAGCCUAGAGGGCCGGCUCAGGCCCCGGUACUACGCUGUAAAGUUUCUCCAGAAAAAUGGGUUGCUCAAGUGUGACCCAAGCUACUAUACUGUUUUUAAGGAGUCCGACUUGGUGUUCAAGAAGAAGUUCAUACACUCUCAUAAGGAAGAUGCACCGCACCUUGAAAAAGACUACAACGCUGCUUGCAAAGGGGAAGUGCCCACUAAUUUCAGAUUCACAUAA
rnacentral:rRNA from 1 species